ACAGCUCAUAACAGCAGGCAGCGAAGCAUGAAAUAGAAAGAAAGAUUAGGAAGACUUCAUCCACAAUAAAUGACCAUUCUGUGACAAUACAGGAGAAGCUUCUCUGGAUCGUUGCAACAGUUCAGUUCAGUGUGAGUGGCAUUAUAAAAUGAAUGUCAGUGACACGGAAGCAAGCUCUGUGCUGAAGAAUUUGCUCCAUCUUUAUGUACAACAAAGGGAUAGGAGAAGUGUCAGGUGCUGUAAUUACACAAACCCCUAUGUUCAGGAGCAGGAAAAUAUCAUGGCUUCUCUAUUCAUCCUGAUUAUUGUUGGGUUUUUUGGCUUUCUCCUCUUUGCCUUGAUGCUCAGCAAUAUUGUUUUCAAGAAGCAGGAAAAUUAUAUGGACCGCCUUUAUCAUGAGACACUACAGUCAGCUGGAAGAAAACUGUCACAUAAAGGCAAAUUGGCUGUCCUCACCAAGAAUGUCACUUCAGAGUCAAACGAUAUUGACAGGUGUAAAAAGACUACCAGCUGCAUGACAGCAACUGAGGCUCCAAGCACAGAGUCAGUACUGCAAAAUGUAUGAAAAUGUACUCCCUGUGCAGCUUGAUGCCUUAUUAUGAACUGAGUAGGUGCGUCUGUUACUCACAGAAGUAUGGAACUAAGAGCCUGCACCAGUUCCCAGCGAAGUGUCUGGCCCUCAGCUGAAGAAAAUCAUUCUGUCCUCCUGAACAGUGCACAGGCUUUCCUAUUCCAGCCCUGUGCUUUCAGGUGGGAGGCCAGAAAUCAAGUACAAACUUAAUUUUUGAUUUUUACUCUUUUUUACUCUUUUCAGAACUUAUUAAAUUUAUAUAUGUAUAUACUGUGUCAUCCAUGGAAGAAGAAAACCAUUUCCGUCCUUAUAUAUUUUUUUUUACUAUGCCAUUUUCUUCUAGGCAUUAAGAUGUGUGGAUUAUUUAUUUAUUAUUGAUCAGCCCUGAUGCUUAUGCUCCAUGUGUCAAAAUAAAGACAGAUAAGCUGUCUUAACAAGGUCUGCACAGUUUCAGGGGAAAGUGAAAGGGCAAAGGUCACAUGUAGUUGACUCACGCCAAAGCUCAUAUUAAACUAAGGGCAGCUUUAGGCCCAACAAGAAAACUAGGAGUGUUUCCAUGCUUCUGCUUCACAUCAUA